rnacentral:rRNA from 1 species
GAUAAACGCUGGCGGCAUGCCUAAUACAUGCAAGUCGAACGGACAUAGCAAUAUGUUAGUGGCGAACGGGUGAGUAACACGUAAGCAACCAACCUUUAAGACGAGGAUACCUACUGGAAACGGUAGUUAAUACUGGAUAGGACACAAUGUCAAAAGAUGAUGUGUUUAAAGGCGCUGAAAGGCGCCGCUAAAAGCUGGGCUUGCGGCGCAUUAGAUAGUUGGUGAGGUAACGGCCCACCAAGUCAACGAUGCGUAGCUGGGCUGAGAGGCCGAACAGCCACACUGGGACUGAGACACGGCCCAGACUCCUACGGGAGGCAGCAGUAGGGAAUUUUCGGCAAUAGGGCGAAAGACCUGACCGAGCAAUAGCCGCGUGAAUGAAGAAGGUACGUUCGUAGUUAGUUAAAGUUACGUU